GUAGUACUCCCUCCAUUCCGAAUUACUUGUCGCAGGUAUGGAUAUAUCUAGAUGUAUUUUAGUUCUAGAUACAUCCACUUCUGCGACGUGUAAUUUGGAACAGAGGGAGUACAAA
rnacentral:pre_miRNA from 1 species